rnacentral:misc_RNA from 1 species
GAAAUUUGAAGUCAAUAACACUUCAACAGAAAGCAGUCUUAAAAACCAGAGAAAUCAAGAUAUGUGAUCCAAUUAUGAUGUUAUACCCAUUAGGGAUUCUGCUUAAUUUGCAUUACCAUUUUCCUUGUCAUUUCAUUUUAAAUUCUUGUAAGUUUUUGAAGUUGGGGGAAUUAUCUAGGAACCAUUCCCUUUGAGAACUGGGGGAAAAUUUUAACUCGAGGUGUGAGAUUUGGAUGAUAAACAGAACUUGCUUCUAAGGUAAAAUAAGUAAUAGGCAUAGAAACUAUACAUUAUAUUGACAUAAUAAUUAUCAUUGUGCUUGCACUUAAAGCUGCAAAAAAAUAAUAAUAUUCUAAACAUCGUGCCAGUGAAUUGAAUUGGAAAAUUGUGUGUUUAAACUCA